rnacentral:lncRNA from 1 species
AAUGUCAGUCUAACAAUGAACUACUCUCUUCGCUUGAAGCGACAAAAUCACUUCAAGCUCAGGAGUCGAGGGUAAGCAUUGCAGAGGUUAUCCACCAUCUGACUCGACAUCCCCUUAAUGAAUUAUAAACAAGCACUCGUCAAUAAACCAGCACUGGAUACCAAAAGAGGACCCAAGAAACCAAGGCAAAGCAGCUUUACAUCAUCAGCUUCUAUCCGACUUCCUAAUCAGACACUCACUGACCCCAAGAUCGAGAUCCUAUCGAUGAUGAUGAACGAAGCCAGACAACCUAUGUAGGUGUUAAUGCAGGACAAAAUCUCAACUCAGCACCAACCCCGAGACAUCAGAUCAUUAAACUACAUGGACAUUCCCUG